AUUGAACGCUGGCGGCAUGCCUUACACAUGCAAGUCGAACGGUAACGCGGGGCAACCUGGCGACGAGUGGCGAACGGGUGAGUAAUGUAUCGGAACGUGCCCAGUUGUGGGGGAUAACUGCUCGAAAGAGCAGCUAAUACCGCAUACGACCUGAGGGUGAAAGCGGGGGAUCGCAAGACCUCGCGCAAUUGGAGCGGCCGAUAACAGAUUAGGUAGUUGGUGGGGUAAAGGCCUACCAAGCCGACGAUCUGUAGCUGGUCUGAGAGGACGACCAGCCACACUGGGACUGAGACACGGCCCAGACUCCGACGGGAGGCAGCAGUGGGGAAUUUUGGACAAUGGGGGCAACCCUGAUCCAGCCAUGCCGCGUGCGGGAAGAAGGCCUUCGGGUUGUAAACCGCUUUUGUCAGGGAAGAAAAGACUCCUACUAAUACUGGGGGUUCAUGACGGUACCUGAAGAAUAAGCACCGGCUAACUACGUGCCAGCCGCCGCAGUAAGAC
rnacentral:rRNA from 1 species